CGCCGCGUGAGGGAUGAAGGCCUCUGGGCUGUAAACCUAUUUUAUCAAAGAAGAAGAUCUGAGGUACUUGAUGAAUAAGCCACGGCUAAUUCCGUGCCAGCAGCCGCGGUAAUACGGGAGUGGCAAGCGUUAUCUGGAAUUAUUGGGCGUAAAGCGUCCGCAGGCGGUUUUGUAAGUCUGUCGUUAAGGCGUGGAGCUUAACUCCAUUUAGGCGGUGGAAACUACAAGACUAGAGUGUGGUAGGGGCAGAGGGAAUUCCCGGUGUAGCGGUGAAAUGCGUAGAUAUCGGGAAGAACACCAGUGGCGAAGGCGCUCUGCUGGGCCAUAACUGACGCUCAUGGACGAAAGCCAGGGGAGCGAAAGGGAUUAGAUACCCCUGUAGUCCUGGCCGUAAACGAUGAACACUAGGUGUUGGGGGAAUCGACCCCCUCGGUGUCGUAGCCAACGCGUUAAGUGUUCCGCCUGGGGAGUACGCACGCAAGUGUGAAACUCAAAGGAAUUGACGGGGGCCCGCACAAGCGGUGGAGUAUGUGGUUUAAUUCGAUGCAACGCGAAGAACCUUACCAGGGUUUGACAUCCUGCGAAUCUCUUGGAAACGAGAGAGUA
rnacentral:rRNA from 1 species